rnacentral:rRNA from 1 species
GACAGAGGGUGCAAGCGUUGUUCGGAAUCAUUGGGCGUAAAGGGCGCGUAGGUGGCUUUGUAAGUCAUAUGUGAAAUCCCGGGGCUUAACCCCGGAAGUGCAUGUGAUACUGCAUGGCUUGAGUCCUGGAGAGGGUGGUGGAAUUCCUGGUGUAGAGGUGAAAUUCGUAGAUAUCAGGAGGAACACCGGUGGCGAAGGCGACCACCUGGACAGAGACUGACACUGAGGCGCGAAAGCGUGGGGAGCAAACAGG